CGGAGGGCAAAUCAGCUGCGCAUUCUGCAAAUGCCACCGGGAGGGCAGGCGGCGCGCAAAACCCGGACUGGAGCGCGGCCACCGCCUGCCCCCGGCUCGCCUGGGGAGGGGAAGGGGGCAGCGGCAGAGCCAGGGACGCGGGCACGGAACGGACUCGGUCUCCAAGCACGCACGGCGUCCAGGCACGGGAGGGCACGCGCAAAACCCGGACCGGAUCGCCCUGCCCUGGCAAGGGAAAAAAGUGUCCCCGGUUCCCAGACAGCGUGGGCAACUUCCUAGUUCCUGGCCUGCCUCCGGGCCAGGCUGUCUCUCUGCGCAACCUGUCCUCCUUCCCAGCAAGGCGCUGCAAGUUUUAUAAAAAUUUCUACUUUGCAACCUGAUGACCUCUGCUCACCUUAGUUUCCUGAGAUUAAACUGAGAUCAUGAAUAA